rnacentral:lncRNA from 1 species
UGCUCUUCUAUGUCACUUAACAUACCAUAAAAAACAACAAUAGUAUGUCUGAGUACUGGAUAUUCAGUGAGUGUCUUUGGGCAAGAGUUCAUAUAAUAAGAUAAGAAUAAUAAUACAUAAAGUGAAACAUUAUCGAGGGAACAUUUCAAAUUAAAUAAGCGGAAUGAAUCAUGUACUCAGUAGAAAUCAGCAGCAAAAGAUCAAUGCAUUUCACAUUCAUUGUCUGAAAGUCCCAUCAUGCCAAUACAUGCCAGUGUCAUGGUUGUUCUCCUCUUUAGACCUUGAAGUGGUUUUUUGUGAAAAGUUGUCCUCUCCAGUUAUGCUUGUUCAUUUUCGCAACUUUAUUUGAGAUGCCAAAUUUGUUUCUCUGGUGUUUAUUUCAGCUAAUCUCUUCGGUAAUGAACGGUGGUGGCACCUUUCUACUUUUGUUCCGUGGUCGUGUACGUAUCUGUCCUUUAUGACUCUACUGGAUUUUUCCGACCCUAUUUACAUGUGAGCUGGUUGUUUGAAACAAGACUCCAUGACCGAGAAAGUUGGAGAUGAA